rnacentral:rRNA from 1 species
AACGCUAGCUACAGGCUUAACACAUGCAAGUCGAGGGGAAACGACAUCGAAAGCUUGCUUUUGAUGGGCGUCGACCGGCGCACGGGUGAGUAACGCGUAUCCAACCUGCCCACCACUUGGGGAUAACCUUGCGAAAGUAAGACUAAUACCCGAUGAUAUCCCUAGAAGACAUCUGAAAGGGAUUAAAGAUUUAUCGGUGAUGGAUGGGGAUGCGUCUGAUUAGCUUGUUGGCGGGGUAACGGCCCACCAAGGCUACGAUCAGUAGGGGUUCUGAGAGGAAGGUCCCCCACAUUGGAACUGAGACACGGUCCAAACUCCUACGGGAGGCAGCAGUGAGGAAUAUUGGUCAAUGGGCGAGAGCCUGAACCAGCCAAGUAGCGUGCAGGAUGACGGCCCUAUGGGUUGUAAACUGCUUUUAUAAGGGAAUAAAGUGAGUCUCGUGAGACUUUUUGCAUGUACCUUAUGAAUAAGGACCGGCUAAUUCCGUGCCAGCAGCCGCGGUAAUACGGAAGGUCCGGGCGUUAUCCGGAUUUAUUGGGUUUAAAGGGAGCGUAGGCCGGAGAUUAAGCGUGUUGUGAAAUGUAGACGCUCAACGUCUGCACUGCAGCGCGAACUGGUUUCCUUGAGUACGCACAAAGUGGGCGGAAUUCGUGGUGUAGCGGUGAAAUGCUUAGAUAUCACGAAGAACUCCGAUUG